GAGCACGUAGGUGGGUUUGUCAGUCGGGUGUGAAAUCCCUCAGCUCAACUGAGGAAUUGCGCCCGAUACUGCCUUGCUAGAGAGCAGGAGGGGAGAGUGGAACUCUAGGUGGAGCGGUGAAAUGCGUAGAUAUCUAGAGGAACGCCGGUGGCGAAAGCGACUCUCUGGCCUGCUUCUGACGCUGAGUGUGCGAAAGCCAGGGUAGCGAACGGGAUUAGAUACCCCGGUAGUCCUGGCCGUAAACGAUGGGCACUAAGUAGAGGGGUUUU
rnacentral:rRNA from 1 species